rnacentral:rRNA from 1 species
AUACGUAGGUGGCAAGCGUUGUCCGGAUUUAUUGGGCGUAAAGCGAGCGCAGGCGGUCUCUUAAGUCUGAUGUGAAAGCCCCCGGCUCAACCGGGGAGGGUCAUUGGAAACUGGGAGACUUGAGUGCAGAAGAGGAGAGUGGAAUUCCAUGUGUAGCGGUGAAAUGCGUAGAUAUAUGGAGGAACACCAGUGGCGAAGGCGGCUCUCUGGUCUGUAACUGACGCUGAGGCUCGAAAGCGUGGGGAGCAAACAGGAUUAGAUGCCCUGGGUGUCCACGCCGUAAACGAUGAGUGCUAAGUGUUGGAGGGUUUCCGCCCUUCAGUGCUGCAGCUAACGCAUUAAGCACUCCGCCUGGGGAGUACGGCCGCAAGGCUGAAACUCAAAUGAAUUGACGGGG